UACGGGGGGGGUAAGCGUUGUUCGGAAUUACUGGGCGUAAAGGGCUCGUAGGCGGCCAACUAAGUCAUACGUGAAAUCCCUCAGCUUAACUGGGGAACUGCGUGUGAUACUGGAUGGCUUGGAUUUGGGAGAGGGAUGCGGAAUUCCAGGUGUAGCGGUGAAAUGCGUAGAUAUCAGGAGGAACACCGGUGGUGUAGACGGCUUUCUGGACCGUAACUGACGCUGAGACACGAAAGCGUGGGUAGCAAACAGG
rnacentral:rRNA from 1 species